UCGAUCCCCUAACUUUCGGGAAACUAAAGUCUUUGGGUUCCGGGGG
rnacentral:rRNA from 1 species